rnacentral:rRNA from 1 species
GGAUUGCAGUCUGCAACCCGACUACAUGAAGCUGGAAUCGCUAGUAAUCGCGGAUCAGAAUGCCGCGGUGAAUACGUUCCCGGGUCUUGUACACACCGCCCGUCACACCAUGGGAGUCGGAAAUGCCCGAAGUCUGUGACCUAACCGUAAGGAAGGAGCAGCCGAAGGCAGGUCGGAUGACUGGGGUGAAGUCGUAACAAGGUAAC